ACCCGCAUAGCUCAGUUGGUAGAGCAUCAGAUUUUUAAUCUGAGGGUCGCGGGUUCGAAUCCCUCUGCGGGCG